GACGAACGCUGGCGGCGUGCCUAAUACAUGCAAGUCGAACGCUUCUUUCCUCCCGAGUGCUUGCACUCAAUUGGAAAGAGGAGUGGCGGACGGGUGAGUAACACGUGGGUAACCUACCCAUCAGAGGGGGAUAACACUUGGAAACAGGUGCUAAUACCGCAUAACAGUUUAUGCCGCAUGGCAUAAGAGUGAAAGGCGCUUUCGGGUGUCGCUGAUGGAUGGACCCGCGGUGCAUUAGCUAGUUGGUGAGGUAACGGCUCACCAAGGCCACGAUGCAUAGCCGACCUGAGAGGGGGAUCCGCCACACUGGGGCUGAGACACGGCCCAGGCUCCUACGGGAGGCAGCAGUAGGGAAUCUUCGGCAAUGGGCGAAAGGCUGACCGAGCCACGGCGCGUUAGUGAAGAAGGUUUUCGGAUCGUAAAACUCUGUUGUUAGAGAAGAACAAGGACGUUUGUAACUGAACGUCCCCUGACGGUAUCUAACCAGAAAGCCACGGCUAACUACGU
rnacentral:rRNA from 1 species